UUCCAGACUCCUACGGGAGGCAGCAGUGGGGAAUAUUGCACAAUGGGGGAAACCCUGAUGCAGCGACGCCGCGUGAGUGAAGAAGUAAUUCGUUAUGUAAAGCUCUAUCAGCAGGGAAGAAAAUGACGGUACCUGACCAAGAAGCCCCGGCUAACUACGUGCCAGCAGCCGCGGUAAUACGUAGGGGGCAAGCGUUAUCCGGAUUUACUGGGUGUAAAGGGAGCGUAGACGGCAAGGCAAGUCUGGAGUGAAAGCCCGUGGCUCAACCACGGGACUGCUUUGGAAACUGUGUUGCUGGAGUGCAGGAGGGGUAAGCGGAAUUCCUAGUGUAGCGGUGAAAUGCGUAGAUAUCAGGAGGAACACCGGUGGCGAAGGCGGCCUGCUGGACUGCAACUGACGUUGAGGCCCGAAAGCGUGGGGAGCAAACAGGAUUAGAUACCCUGGUAA
rnacentral:rRNA from 1 species